AAGCAGGAACGGGCUGAGGAAAUCUAUAAUGAGGCUAUUGCACCAAGGAGGCGCCAUCUACGUCAUUCUUGCUGCUUUUUAUGUGCUGGGGGAAGAAUUGGCGAAAGAACAAUGCACUGGCUUUGCUUAUAUGGGGCAGUGCAAAGAAAAACUCGUAAGGUGGUGGUACUCCACUAAUAGCA
rnacentral:lncRNA from 1 species